UGGUUUCAUAUGGUGAGGCUAAUUCGAGAUCUUUCCGUGGAGGUUCGAGGGAGAUCGAUCGAACCCUCGAGGUCUUCUCCGACUCCGCACGGGCACGGCCCCUUUGCUCGAUUUCCUCAAUCCAGGACAGUUCUGCUACGUUGCUUGCAUGUGGUAGCUAGGGGCUCUGCAAUUCCUAUCUCAUUCAUUCAUCAGAUCAGAUACACCACAUGCAUCAUGCAUGGUCUAGUCCAGCUCCACCUAAUACAGCGCACUGCAUCAGCUAAAGGGAGUACCAAGUUCCAUCCUCUCAGGCGCUGCAUCGAGGAAGUAGAACUAAAAUGCAGAAAGAAAGAAAAACGGUACACUGGUUUAGCCUCGGUAAUUAAGAUCAAACGAAGUAAACAUAAUCUGUAGCUAGGAUUGGAUCUGGCCUUUUUAUAUUUUUGUAUUUUCUUUAAUAACAGAGUGUCAGUGGCUGCUUUGUUCACAUAAGGAUUGGUCAGAUCAGAUCAACUUUCGAUCGACGAGCUGAAUACAAUACACGCAUUCAUGCCUUUGCCUUAAUUAUGAACAUGCAGAUGAAGAUGUCAAGAACUGUCGUGUGAGCGAUCACUGUUACUCCCUCCGUUUCAUAAAGAUUGGCAUGAUUUUGAACUAGAACUAGUUUAAAUCCGUGCCAAUCAUUAUGGCACGGAGGGAGUAAUUAAGAUUGCGAUGGUGGAGGUGAAUGAUAUAAAUAUGAGUCCUUUCAUCAACCGGAAGACGAGCUGCAACUCUGCGCUCAACUUGCUCUGGCUGGCUCACUAGGGCUGGGCCCAUAAACGAGACUUGCUCUGGCUGGCUAAACUGCACAUGCUCAUUUCAAGCAUCAUCAUCAUUCAGGUGGUCCCCUCUUGACGAACCCAAACAUGAUGUCUGAGGAGGAAGUUAUGAUUCAAUAUUUCGAGAUGUGGUUGAUCAUUCAUGGUCUCUUGUUUGCCGAUGGAGGCACAACUACUGGCUGCAUAUGGUUCUUCUGAUUCGAUCAAUUUCUGGGAGCAAUGACAGAAGUUGACAACGGAGAUGAUGAUGACUGCCUUAGAAACUCGUGUGUUGAUCAGUAGAAUUAUUCGUAUUGUAAACUUAAGAGCUGAGUUCCAGCAAGAAUUUUAGAGGGAAGAAAAAAAAAUGUACGGCUGCUGCUUGAGAUGUGGCCAAACAUUCCUAUUGUAAACUUAAACGCCAGCUCCUCCUCUUCCUCUGGCCGGCGGCGAGUAUAUAGCUGCCAGCUCUUAUAGGUUUGAAACUUGAGUCUC